GUCAGCGUUGGGUCAAGACCGGACAUUGACCCCAGACCGGUCAUUGUUGACCCAAGACUCAACAUUGAGCCAGGACCGGUCAUCGUUGGGUCGAGAGUGGACAUUGACCCAAGACCGGUCAAUACUGACCCAAGACCGGACAUUGACCCCAGACCGGUCAAUAUUGACCCAAGACCGGUCAUCGUUGGGUCAGGACUGGUCAUCGUUGACCCAAACAAGGUCAACGGCCCAAGUGACGUCACCGUUGUCCCUUGAGAUGACCCCAUGGGGUCAGGGCCGGACAUUGACCCCAGACCGGUCACCGUUGGGUCAAGAGUGGACAGUGACCCAAGAUUGGUCAUCGUUGACCCGAGACCGGUCAUCGUUGGGUCAAGAAAGGUCAACGGCCAAAGGGACGUCACUGGAAAUGACCCCAAGGGGACAAGGCCGGACAUUGACCCUGGACCGGUCACCAUUGGGUCACGACCGGCCAUCGUUGGGUCAAGACCGGACAUUGGACCAAGAGC
rnacentral:lncRNA from 1 species